rnacentral:rRNA from 1 species
GUAGGAUAGAGGCCUACCAUGGUGGUAACGGGUAACGGGGAAUUAGGGUUCGAUUCCGGAGAGGGAGCCUGAGAAACGGCUACCACAUCCAAGGAAGGCAGCAGGCGCGCAAAUUACCCAAUCCCGACACGGGGAGGUAGUGACAAUAAAUAACAAUACGGGGCUCUUUCGGGUCUCGUAAUUGGAAUGAGUACAAUUUAAAUCCCUUAACGAGGAACAAUUGGAGGGCAAGUCUGGUGCCAGCAGCCGCGGUAAUUCCAGCUCCAAUAGCGUAUAUUUAAGUUGUUGCAGUUAAAAAGCUCGUAGUUGAAUUUCGGGAUUGACACAUCGGUCGUGCCCUAAGGGGUAUGAACUGGUGUCGUCAGUUUCUCACCUUCUGGAGAACCGCGAUGUCCUUAAUUGGGUGCCGCGAGGAACCAGGACCUUUACUUUGAAAAAAUUAGAGUGUUUAAAGCAGGCAUUUCGCUUGAAUACAUUAGCAUGGAAUAAUAAAAUAGGACGGAUGGUUCUAUUUUGUUGGUUUCUAGGAUCACCGUAAUGAUUAAUAGGGAUAGUUGGGGGCAUUAGUAUUCAAUUGUCAGAGGUGAAAUUCUUGGAUUUAUUGAAGACUAACUACUGCGAAAGCAUUUGCCAAGGAUGUUUUCAUUAAUCAAGAACGAAAGUUAGGGGAUCGAAGACGAUCAGAUACCGUCGUAGUCUUAACCAUAAACUAUGCCGACUAGGAAUCAGACGAUGUUAAUUUUUUAAUGACUCGUUUGGCACCUUACGGGAAACCAAAGUGUUUGGGUUC